rnacentral:tRNA from 1 species
GGGCUAUAGCUCAGUGUGAGAGCCCCGCCCGGUGAAUUGCGGCAUGAGGUCUCGGGUGCAAGCACAGGAAGGUCCA